AACAAUGAAUCAUUCACCGCUACAAUGUGUAGCUCAGAGAUGCAAUGACAGUUGUUUCGUGUGGAACUGGCGGAGCAAAAAUAACUUUUUUAUCGCUCUGAAAAGAGUGUCAAGAUUUGCACAACCCCUCGGAAGCCUGGCAUGAGAUUAAGCUCUUGACAACCUUGAGAUAGCUCUCCCUUCACCGGCGUUCCCAGGAGGGAGCCAUUGUCAGAGCCAUGGUACAAUUGUUGCUUUUGAGUCUUGAAUAGGCAGCCUGGGCCAUCUGAAAAAGACAAGUGCACAUCAGAUCAUGUGAUUGGACACUGGACUAACCAGCGGAAGUG